GACGAACGCUGGCGGCGUGCUUAACACAUGCAAGUCGAACGGAAAGGCCCUGCUUUUGUGGGGUGCUCGAGUGGCGAACGGGUGAGUAACACGUGUGUAACCUGUCCUUGACUUUGGGAUAACUUCAGGAAACUGGGGCUAUUAUAGGAUAGGAGCUCCUGCUGCAUGGGGGGGGUUGGAAAGAUUCGGCGGUUGGGGAUGGACUCGCGGCGUAUCAGCUUGUUGGUGGGGUAGUGGCUUACCAAGGCGAUGAUGGGUAGCCGACCGGAGAGGGUGACCGGCCACACUGGGACGGAGAAACGGCCCAGACGCAUACGGGAGGCAGGAGUAGGGAAUCUGCGGCAAUGGACGGAAGUCUGACCGAGCAACGCGGCGUGAGUGAAGAAGGUGUGCGGAUCGGGAAGCGAUGUUGUAAGAGAAGAACGAGUGUGAGAGUGGAAAGUUCACACUGUGACGGUAUAAUACCAGGAAGGGACGGCGAACGACG
rnacentral:rRNA from 1 species